UAUUGUCAUUGCAACUAGUAGGGAGCAUGCGACGGCGCCCUAUGGGCGCCGUUAUGCCGCGACGAAUGUAGUUUCAAAGAUGUUUCUUCUUAUUCAUUCUUCUUUUUCUUUUCGUCGAUUAUAUGUUUAUAAUUCUGAUACUUAGAAGAAAAAAUUUAAAGUAACGAAAAAUAAACAAUGAUCUAUUAAAAAGAUGUGAAGAAUGAUGGUGAGGCGCGAAGGCAGGCACCUAUACAAAGAUGGGAACCGGUUUCGCAUUCUAUUCUUUUUUUACAUUCUCGAAAGAGAUCUUGCCGAGUCGCGGGUGUGAAAACUGACACUCACCCUCAUUUGUUAUUUUAUGAAAACAAAGGAAAAUUAUAAGAAUCACGCAGUAUCAUCAAAUUAUUUCUUGCUUUUUUUUCUAUCUUAACAUCAUAUCAUUUUCAACCAUGUAUAUACAUAUUUUCGAUAGACUUUUUAAUCUAGCUCUAAUAAAAUGUAGUAUCGAA